rnacentral:rRNA from 1 species
UACGGAGGGUGCAAACGUUGCUCGGAAUCAUUGGGCGUAAAGAGCGUGUAGGCGGCCAGGUAGGUCGGUUGUGAAAACUGGAGGCUCAACCUUCAGAGGUCGACCGAAACCAUCUGGCUAGAGUCCGGGAGAGGAGAGUGGAAUUCCUGGUGUAGCGGUGAAAUGCGCAGAUAUCAGGAAGAACACCCGUGGCGAAAGCGGCUCUCGUAGGA